CUAACUUUCUGUGCUUUCUUAUGCUAUUUGUCUCUCACUUUCUCUCUCUAUUUCUUUCUCUCUCCCUCUCUCUCUCUCUCUCUGUAGAGUCAGUAAUACGUGGACAUUAGGAUUCAGCAGUCCAGCCAGUGGAGAGUGGAGUAGAUUCAUCAUGAUCCAUCCCUACACUGCUACAUUGUCCACACAAAUGAGUUGGGGCAUGCAGGCUCCUCAGAGUGCCAUCAUACCUGCCUUUCCUGCCGAGGCCCAUCAGAAUGAGGGGGAGAGAGAGAGCGUGGAGGGAAGGAGGGAUGGAGGGAUGGAGCGAGGGAGGAGCUGCUGAUCUCCUAUCACGCGUUCAGAAGAGCGGAGCGGGCGGAAGAUUGAUGACACCCUCCGGAAGAAACAAAAGAUGGGCGCAUGGCGGGCAGCCGCUCAUGAGCCCUGAUAGACUCGUCUCUUAAUAAACAUCACUGAUAUGUCAGCCACGCCGUGUUUCACUCAAAGCAGCUCACUGCACCGGGGAGAGAGCCAGAAACACUCUCACACACUCACACACUGCAAACACACAUACACAGCAGACCCACACUCCAAAUAUGAAUACACAGUGGAGGGGCAUUCUGCAUAUUUCUGGGCCUUGUGCAAAGUCUCUGUGGACCCCCUUUACAAGUUUUAAAAGAAUUACAACUACAGAUAAGCCUAUAUGAAAAAAAGAUAUAGUCUUGUCUAGUCCUGUCUCACUGAACAUUAAAAAAGUGGCAUUAAA